CAUGUUCGAAAUGGUCUCGAUCUACAUGACUAGAAAUCGAAUCCAUGAUGGCUUGAGGCUUGGGAGACACAUGAUUUGGUUGAGAAGAGAUGGCGACUCAGGGUGUUUUUCUUGUGUUGUUGUCUCAGAUUUGCAACUAUUAGGGGUCCUCACACAGAUAAAACGACAUGCAUGUGUUAGAUCUUGUUCCAUUUCUCUAAAACAAAUAAAUCUGACAAUGAAACCAAAAGAUUGGAGGAUAAUUUUACCUUUGGGUUUCAGUUUUGCCGAUUUUCUAUCGUAGCUCGUGUGUGUUGCUGGGUUAUUGGCUGCAUCACGGAUGAAGAGUUUAGAAAGGAUGAAGGCGCUGCUGUGAAAUGGAGGUUUGAAUUGAUGACUGGACUUGAGAGUUUUGAACAUGGGAAAAGCUCCGAGAGAGUCUCUUCGGAUUUUCUAAAGAGAGAGAAGGCUCUUGCGUUUUUGAGAGAAAUGAAGAAGAGAGAGAGGGCUGAGAUGGAUGGGUUUGAA
rnacentral:lncRNA from 1 species